rnacentral:rRNA from 1 species
UGGGAGAGGUAGACGGUACUCGGUAGGAAGGGGUAAAAUCCUUUGAUCUAUUGAUGACCACCUGUGGCGAAGGCGGUCUACCAGAACACGUCCGACGGUGAGGGAUGAAAGCUGGGGGAGCAAACCGGAUUAGAUACCCGGGUAGUCCCAGCUGUAAACUAUGCAAACUCAGUGAUGCAUUGGCUUGUGGCCAAUGCAGUGCUGCAGGGAAGCCGUUAAGUUUGCCGCCUGGGAAGUACGUACGCAAGUAUGAAACUUAAAGGAAUUGGCGGGGGAGCACCACAAGGGGUGAAGCCUGCGGUUCAAUUGGAGUCAACGCCAGAAAUCUUACCCGGAGAGACAGCAGAAUGAAGGUCAAGCUGAAGACUUUACCAGACAAGCUGAGAGGUGGUGCAUGGCCGUCGCCAGCUCGUGCCGUGAGAUGUCCUGUUAAGUCAGGUAACGAGCGAGAUCCCUGCCUCUAGUUGCCACCAUUACUCUCAGGAGUAGUGGGGCGAAUUAG